UUAUAUAUUUAUUGUAUACAAAAAAUAUUUUUUUUUUUUAAAAGGGGUCCCACAAAAGUGGGGGCCCCAUUCAAAUGUUUCGCAUAAAUGGGGUCAAGCCUGUUGAGAUAAGCUUGAAAGAAAAGGAAACUUGAGUUAGAAGUUAUCCACCUAAUCCUACCGAGUUAUGGAAUAUAGGAAUACUAGUAUGUUUAGGAGUUAUCUAGAUAUACUUCCUAUUAGGAUUAGGAAUUAUAAAUCUCUAUAUAAGAAGAUGCAAGUAUGUUGCAUAGCUUAAGAGUUUAG
rnacentral:lncRNA from 1 species